rnacentral:misc_RNA from 1 species
GGGGGUUGCAGGCUUCUCAGAAGCCAGCUCUCCUUAAAUGUAUUAGCGGACCGCCUUUGUGGACCGGCUCUGGUGUGAUAAUUAUCUACGCUAUUGUCUGGAAAGCAGCUUUAUGAGGCUCUGCUUCUAACCGUCUCUUUACUGAGACAAUUUAUUGACCAUCUGACCUCAAAUCAGGUAGGACUACCCGCUGAACUUAA